UUAUUUCAACGGCCGCGGUACCCUAACCGUGCAAAGGUAGCACAAUCACUUGUUCUUUAAAUAAGGACUAGUAUGAACGGCACCACGAAGACCAUGCGUCUCCUUUCUCUAAUCAGUGAAACUGAUCUCCCCGUGAAGAAGCGGGGAUUAUUCUAUAAGACGAGAAGACCCUAUGAAGCUUAAAAUUUACAUCAACUGCCACCCACACACCACCUCAACCUGACAGACCUGAUUAUUAAUUUUUGGUUGGGGUGACCACGGAGCAAAAUUAAACCUCCAUAAUGAAAGGACUAAACCUCCUAAUUCAAGAAUUACACCUCUAAAAAUCAAUAUAUUGACAUAAAUUGAUCCAAACCUUUGAUCAAUGAACCAAGUUACUCUAGGGAUAACAGCGCAAUCCAUUUCAAGAGCCCCUAUCGACAAAUGGGUUUACGACCUCGAUGUUGGAUCAGGGUGUCCUAGUGGUGCAACCGCUACUAAAGGUUCGUUUGUUCAACGAUUAAAACCCUACGUGAUCUG
rnacentral:rRNA from 1 species